CUUGCCAUUGACAGCACACCCCAAAGGGACAGCAAACACACAGGGAGGCCAGGUAUCAGAAGCCACCCAUAUCUAAGCUUCUGGUAGGGCAGCCCAGUUUAAACAGAGAGUAAAGUACCAGUCAGAUUCCUUCAACACAUUUAUACAAUUGUGUCAGCAUCAGAAACCAGCAAGCUGAGGUAAACUCUCCAUAAUCCAGCUUUUGUGCACAGCUUUUUUUAAAGCCCCCCCCCCCCCCCCAAUUCCCCAUUUAGGAUUUGCCAGAUAGUUUGAUUUGUAUUUUGUACUAAGUAGAAAAAAAAAAUAAAAAUAAAUCUCUACUUUGACACUAUUAUCCCACUCUUCCCAGGCUAUCAAAUUAUUAAUAUUUCCAUGCUUUUAGAGAGCUAACCUGGUGAGCAGACUUGGUCAGUGGAGGCUUCCUCUCCAGCUGGGAUCCUGCACAAAGAGGCUCUGGCAAAGAUGAAACUAAACUUACUCCCUCAGAUGUUCUUAUUGGUAGCCAGCAGCAAAAAACGUAAAAUGGGUGGGAGGUAACUUGAAGGGGGAAGUCAGGAACUGUGCCCUGUCCUUACAACCACAGACUUAACAAUGCAGAACAGUAAUUUAUUUUUCCUUUUCCCAGGACUAGUUAUUCUUUUUUAAAAAAUAUGUUUGCAUGUUUAUUGUGUUAUUCCUCUUACUUUUCCCACAUGUUGUUGCUGUUCAGGGGAGAGUAGCUCUGAAUGAUUUACUUUCAUCGAGACAGACAUUUAGGUUAUAAUUUCUUAGAAAAUACACCCCACAUGGAGACAUUCCAUAAAAAUUAGGCUGAUUCCCUAAGUGCUUGUCACAAGCCAUGUAGCCCAGCCACUGUAAAAUUAACAGAGCACUUACCAUACACACAUACAUUUCCCUUUAUGAGAUGCUAAUAUUUAAAGUUUCUGCACUAACCCCAAUUAUGUAACCUGUCAAGUCAUGACAGUUUUGGAUUCACGUCCACAUUUUGUGGAGAACCUGUGGCACCAGGAAAGCACUUUUUGUUUCCCAGCAGGAUACACAUAAUAUGCAGAGAUCUCAGAGAGGAUCUGGGUUGCUGCUUUCUCAGGAGCAAGUCAAGUUCAACACAUCCCAUGAUGAGGACAGCAGCAACCAGAGCUCCAAAGGAGGAAUUUACUGAACCUCUUAUCUGGGAUUGUGAGACUCAACAAAGCCAAGAAGAUUGAUCUAUUGGAAAGGGAGGGCAGUUGAAGCUAAACCAAGGAACAUCUAAAACUUAAGAGGAAUGUUUAAAUAAUACAUGAGCAUUUAUGAAUAUGCAAUAGCUUUGUAUUUUUAAGGGACGCUCUUGGCUAAAUGCUGAGGCACCCGGCCGUAUUUGUUCAUUUUGUUUUAUUUCUAUCUCCGAAUUGUCUUUCUAUUAAAGUUUUUAAAGUUUAUAUUAAAAAAAUGUGAACCCCGUUUUUCACAUAGUGGAAAAAAAAAAUAUUUCAAAAGAAGAAUGGGAGGCUAGAAAGACAUCAGAAGACCAUCUUGGACCACCUCCCCAGCAGAUCGUCAAAAACCACAACUGAAGAAAAGCAAGUAGAAAAUAACUGAAAAUUUGAGGAAGGGAAGUGCCUAGAAUGGUAUGAGAUUACUGCUUGAAAACUGAAUUUGUGCAUUGCUUGGGGUGGAGACCCCCGCGCACCCAGCGCUGUAAAAGUUGCUCACCCUUUUAUCAAACGAAUUAAUAAAUUGGCUAUAUUGCUUGAUGUAUUGGCA
ensembl:lncRNA